rnacentral:rRNA from 1 species
AUUGAACGCUGGCGGCAGGCUUAACACAUGCAAGUCGAGCGGGGUGAUGGUGCUUGCACUAUCACUCAGCGGCGGACGGGUGAGUAAUGCUUAGGAAUCUGCCUAUUAGUGGGGGACAACAACUCGAAAGGGAUGCUAAUACCGCAUACGUCCUACGGGAGAAAGCAGGGGAUCACUUGUGACCUUGCGCUAAUACAUGAGCCUCAGUCGGAUUAGCUAGUUGGUGGGGUAAAGGCCUACCCAGGCGACGAUCUGUAGCGGGUCUGAGAGGAUGAUCCGCCACACUGGGACUGAGACACGGCCCAGACUCCUACGGGAGGCAGCAGUGGGGAAUAUUGGACAAUGGGGGGAACCCUGAUCCAGCCAUGCCGCGUGUGUGAAGAAGGCCUUAUGGUUGUAAAGCACUUUAAGCGAGGAGGAGGCUCUUUUGGUUAAUACCCAAGAUGAGUGGACGUUACUCGCAGAAUAAGCACCGGCUAACUCUGUGCCAGCCGCCGCCGUAA